rnacentral:rRNA from 1 species
UAACCCUUUGUUGUCCGACUCUGUUGCCUCCGGGGCGACCCUGCCUUCGGGCGGGGGCUCCGGGUGGACACUUCAAACUCUUGCGUAACUUUGCAGUCUGAGUAAACUUAAUUAAUAAAUUAAAACUUUUAACAACGGAUCUCUUGGUUCUGGCAUCGAUGAAGAACGCAGCGAAAUGCGAUAAGUAAUGUGAAUUGCAGAAUUCAGUGAAUCAUCGAAUCUUUGAACGCACAUUGCGCCCCCUGGUAUUCCGGGGGGCAUGCCUGUUCGAGCGUCAUUUCACCACUCAAGCCUCGCUUGGUAUUGGGCAUCGCGGUCCGCCGCGUGCCUCAAAUCGACCGGCUGGGUCUUCUGUCCCCUAAGCGUUGUGGAAACUAUUCGCUAAAGGGUGUUCGGGAGGCUACGCCGUAAAACAACCCCAUUUCUAAGGUUGACCUCGGAUCAGGUAGGGAUACCCGCUGAACUUAAGCAUAUC